AGGAUCCCGGGGCUGCAAGUGUAUUUGAAGGGUUGAUGAUCAAUGUCCUGCAAUUCACAUUAAUUCACGCAGUUAGCUGCAUUCUUCAUCGAC
rnacentral:sRNA from 1 species